GAUCCUGGCUCAGGAUGAACGCUAGCGGCAGGCUUAACACAUGCAAGUCGAGGGGUAUAGUUCUUCGGAACUAGAGACCGGCGCACGGGUGCGUAACGCGUAUGCAAUCUACCUUUUACAGAGGGAUAGCCCAGAGAAAUUUGGAUUAAUACCUCAUAGUAUGUGAGAAUCGCAUGGUUUUCACAUUAAAGUUCCAACGGUAAAAGAUGAGCAUGCGUCCCAUUAGCUAGAUGGUAAGGUAACGGCUUACCAAGGCUACGAUGGGUAGGGGUCCUGAGAGGGAGAUCCCCCACACUGGUACUGAGACACGGACCAGACUCCUACGGGAGGCAGCAGUGAGGAAUAUUGGUCAAUGGGCGCAAGCCUGAACCAGCCAUGCCGCGUGCAGGAUGACGGUCCUAUGGAUUGUAAACUGCUUUUGUACAGGAAGAAACACUCCCUCGUGAGGGAGCUUGACGGUACUGUAAGAAUAAGGAUCGGCUAACUCCGUG
rnacentral:rRNA from 1 species